GCAGUGGUGGUUCAGUGGUAGAAUUUUUGCCUUCUGUGUGGGAGACCCAGCUUUGAAUUCUUGCCAAUGCA
rnacentral:tRNA from 1 species